CUGGUCCCUGUGGGCUGAGGGUGCAGCUCCAUGGUAAAGCACGUGCUUAGCCUGUAUAAAGCUGGGAAGCGGAGGUAAAGCAUGUGCUUAGUGUGUGUAAAGGUGGGAAGCUGGGGUAAAGCAUGUGCUUAGCAUGUGUAAAGGUAGGAAGCUGGGGUAAAGCAUGUGCUUAAUGUGUAAAGGUGGGAAGCUGGGGUAAAGCAUGUGCUUAGCGUGUGUAAAGGUGGAAAGCUGGGGUAAAGCAUGUGCUUAGUAUGUGUAAAGGUGGGAAGCUGGGGUAAAGCAUGUGCUUAGCAUGUGUAACGCUGGGGGGUAAAG